rnacentral:rRNA from 1 species
AUUGAACGCUGGCGGCAGGCCUAACACAUGCAAGUCGAGCGAGCGGCGGACGGGUGAGUACUGUAUGGGGACUGCCCGAAAGAGGGGGAUAACUACUGGAAACGGUAGUUAAUACCGCAUACUAUCGGAUAACCCAUAUGGGAUUAGCUGGUAGUUGAGGUAAUGGCUACCCUAGGCGACGAUCCCUAGCUGGCCUUAGAGGAUGACCAGCCAAACGGGGACUGAGACACGGCCCAGACUCCUACGGAGGCAGCAGUGGGGAAGAUUGCACAAUGGGCGCAAGCCUGAUGGAGCCAUGCCGCGUGUAUGAAGAAGGCCUUAGGGUUGUAAAGUACUUUUGGCAGAGAAGCGGUAUCUGCAGAAUAAGCACCGGCUAACUACGGGCCAGCAGCCGCGGUAAUAC